rnacentral:rRNA from 1 species
UCCGUUGUAGCAAUACGAUGGAAAGUCUAGUGGCGAACGGGUGCUUAACACGUGGGCAACCUGCCGAGAAGUGGGGGAUAGCUCGCCGAAAGGCGAAUUAAUACCGCAUGUGAUUAGAGUGGACAUCCAUUCGAAAUUAAAGUCGGGGCAACCUGACGCUUCUUGUGGGGCCCGCGGCCUAUCAGCUAGUUGGUGAGGUAAAGGCUCACCAAGGCUUUGACGGGUAGCUGGUCUGAGAGGACGACCAGCCACACUGGGACUGAGACACGGCCCAGACACCUACGGGUGGCAGCAGUCGGGAAUUUUUGACAAUGGGGGAAACCCUGAUCGAGCGACGCCGCGUGGAGGAUGAAGGUCUUCGGAUUGUAAACUCCUGUCAUUGGGGAACAAUGCGUGACGCUUAACUGCCGUUGCGUUGAUAGUACCCGAAGAGGAAGAGACGGCUAACUCUGUGCCAGCAGCCGCGGUAAUACAGAGGUCUCAAGCGUCGUUCGGAUUCAUUGGGCAUAAAGGGUGCGUAGGCGGCGCGGUAAGUCGGGUGUGAAAUCUCGGAGCUUAACUCCGAAACUGCAUUCGAUACUGCCGUGCUUGAGGACUGGGGAGGAGACUGGAAUUCACGGUGUAGCA